CAACGAAUCUUCCGCAAUGCACGAAAGUGUGACGGAGCAAUGCCGCGUGCAGGAUGAAGCAGCUUCGCUGUGUAAACUGCUGUCAGGGGUCAGAAAUCAUGAUCAACCCCAGAGGAAGGGCCGGCUAAUCACGUGCCAGCAGCCGCGGUAAUACGUGAGGCCCGAGCGUUAUUCGGAAUCACUGGGCUUAAAGGGUGCGCAGGCGGGCUCGUAAGCAUUUUGUGAAAUCCCACAGCUCAACUGUGGAAUAGCAGGGUGAACUGCGAGUCUUGAGGAAGGCAGAGGCAGACGGAACCAUAGGUGGAGCGGUGGAAUGCGUUGAGAUCUAUGGGAACGCCAAAGGUGAAGACAGUCUGCUGGGCCUUUCCUGACGCUCAGGCACGAAAGCGUGGGGAGCAAACAGGAUUAGAUACCCCCGUAGUCC
rnacentral:rRNA from 1 species